AUUCCAGCUCUAAUAGCGUAUAUUAAUGUUGUUGCAGUUAAAAAGCUCGUAGUUGGAUUUUGGUGUUUGACAAACGGUCGGCCUUACGGUUUGUACUGUUUGUUGGCACUUCUUUUCUGGGGAACUCACUGUUCUUAAUUGAAGGGUGUUGUAACGCAGAUCGUUUACUUUGAAAAAAUUAGAGUGUUCAAAGCAGGCCAACGCAUUGAAUACAUUAGCAUGGAAUAAUGGAAUAGGACUUUGGUCUUAUUUUGUUGGUUUCUAAGGCCGAGGUAAUGAUUAAUAGGGAUAGUUGGGGGCGUUUAUAUUCCGUUGUCAGAGGUGAAAUUCUUGGAUUUACGGAAGAUAAACUACUGCGAAAGCAUUCGCCAAGGAUGUUUUCAUCG
rnacentral:rRNA from 1 species